AUAAAUGGCGAAGCUUUCGAGCCUAGCUUUUAUACCAUCCUAUACACCUGUGAACUAUUUGCCUUCGGGCACUUUACCAAACAUAAUGUAAUGAAUGUAAUCUACUAUAAACAAAUA
rnacentral:misc_RNA from 1 species